AUAGGGAUGGGAAGGAGAGACGGUUGGCCUCUACCCUGAGAGGGACGGGAACAACCUCUGGGCUUACCUGUUACCACAGAUAUGGUUAAGGCUUCCCAUUCUGGUGGAUCUUACCCAAAUUUUAC